GUCUUUUGAGUACCUUCGUUUCCUCGGCGGGUCCGCCCGCCGAUUGGACAACAUUCAAACCCUUUGCAGUUGCAAUCAGCGUCUGAAAAAACAUAAUAGUUACAACUUUCAACAACGGAUCUCUUGGUUCUGGCAUCGAUGAAGAACGCAGCGAAAUGCGAUAAGUAGUGUGAAUUGCAGAAUUCAGUGAAUCAUCGAAUCUUUGAACGCACAUUGCGCCCCUUGGUAUUCCAUGGGGCAUGCCUGUUCGAGCGUCAUUUGUACCUUCAAGCUCUGCUUGGUGUUGGGUGUUUGUCUCGCCUCUGCGUGUAGACUCGCCUUAAAACAAUUGGCAGCCGGCGUAUUGAUUUCGGAGCGCAGUACAUCUCGCGCUUUGCACUCAUAACGACGACGUCCAAAAGUACAUUUUUACACUCUUGACCUCGGAUCAGGUAGGGAUACCCGCUGAACUUAAGCAUAUCAAUAAGCGGAGGA
rnacentral:rRNA from 1 species